rnacentral:rRNA from 1 species
GAUGAACGCUGGCGGCGUGCCUAAUACAUGCAAGUCGAGCGAACGGACGAGAAGCUUGCUUCUCUGAUGUUAGCGGCGGACGGGUGAGUAACACGUGGAUACCCUACCUCUAAGACUGGGAUCACUUCGGGACAACGGAUCUAAUACCGGAUAAUAUUUUGAACCGCAUUGUUCAAAAGUGUAAGACGGUCUUGCUGUCUCUUAUAGCUGCAUCCGCGCUUCAUUAGCUCGGUGGUAAGGUAACGGCUUACCAAAGCAAUGAUGCAUAGCCGACCUGACGGGGUGAUCGGCCACACUGGAACUGGGACACGGUCCAGACUCCUACGGGAGGCAGCAGUAGGGAAUCGUCCGCAAUGGGCGGAAGCCUGACGGAGCAACGCCGCGUGAGUGAUGAAGGUCUUCGGAUCGUAAAACUCUGUUAUUAGGGAAGAACAUAUGUGUAAGUAACUGUGCACAUCUUGACGGUACCUAAUCAGAAAGCCACGGCUAACUACGUG